rnacentral:miRNA from 2 species
GCCAUUUUGUGUUGUCAGC